rnacentral:rRNA from 2 species
AAAUUGAAGAGUUUGAUCAUGGCUCAGAUUGAACGCUGGCGGCAGGCCUAACACAUGCAAGUCGAACGGUAGCACAGAGAGCUUGCUCUCGGGUGACGAGUGGCGGACGGGUGAGUAAUGUCU